rnacentral:tRNA from 1 species
UGGGGUGUAGCUCAGUGUAGAGCACUUGCCUAGCAUGUGUGAGGCACUGGGUUCAAUUCUCAGCACUGCAU